rnacentral:rRNA from 1 species
UACGUAGGUGGCAAGCGUUAUCCGGAAUUACUGGGCGUAAAGCGCACGCAGGCGGUCUUUUAAGUUUGACGUGAAAGCUCCCGGCUUAACUGGGAGAGGUCGUUGAAUACUGGGAGACUUGAGGAAAUGAGAGGGGUGUAGAAUUCCUGGUGUAGUGGUGGAAUGCGUAGAUAUCAGGAGGAAUACCAGUGGCGAAAGCGGCACCCUAGCAUUUUUCUGACGCUCAUGUGCGAAAGCGUGGGGAGCGAACGGG